rnacentral:rRNA from 1 species
AUUGAACGCUGGCGGCAGGCCUAACACAUGCAAGUCGAACGAGUGGGGACGGGUGAGUAACACGUGGGUAACCUCCCCAUCAGAGGGGAUAACACUUGGAAACAGGUGCUAAACCGAUACUGAUGGAUGGACCCGCGGUGCAUUAGCUAGUUGGUGAGGUAACGGCUCACCAAGGCCACGAUGCAUAGCCGACCUGAGAGGGUGAUCGGCCACACUGGAACUGAGACACGGUCCAGACUCCUACGGGAGGCAGCAGUAGGGAAUCUUCGGCAAUGGACGAAAGUCUGACCGAGCAACGCCGCGUGAGUGAAGAAGGUUUUCGGAUCGUAAAACUCUGUUGUUAGGGAAGCGUUAUCUAACCAGAAAGCCACGGCUAACUACGUGCCAGCAGCCGCGGUAAUUC